AACGAACGCUGGCGGCAUGCCUAACACAUGCAAGUCGAACGGGACCUUCGGGUCUAGUGGCGCACGGGUGCGUAACGCGUGGGAACCUGCCCUUAGGUUCGGAAUAACUCCCCGAAAGGGGUGCUAAUACCGGAUAAUGUCUUCGGACCAAAGAUUUAUCGCCCUUGGAUGGGCCCGCGUUGGUUUAGCUAGUUGGUAGGGUAAAAGCCUACCAAGGCGACGAUCCAUAGCUGGUCUGAGAGGAUGAUCAGCCACACUGGGACUGAGACACGGCCCAGACUCCGACGGGAGGCAGCAGUGGGGAAUAUUGGACAAUGGGCGAAAGCCUGAUCCAGCAGUGCCGCGUGAGUGAUGAAGGCCUUAGGGUUGUAAAGCUCUUUUACCCGGGAUGAUAAUGACAGUACCGGGAGAAUAAGCUCCGGCUAACUCCGUG
rnacentral:rRNA from 1 species